rnacentral:lncRNA from 10 species
GAGAGGACAGCAUGCCAUGGCGAAAUGCAGCCAGGGGCUAAGUAGCAAGGGAACUUACAAAAUCAAACUUCUCUGCUUUGUUACAGUCCAUCUGCAGAGAAAGAGAGAGAUGUCAGCAUUCUAAGUGUAGGAGGAUGACAGAGGGAAGGGUCAGAAGGAUCUAGUGGAGUUCUAGUGUUAGUCUGGUCCUGCUGCUGCAAAUGUGUUCAAUUUUAUAAUGGCCCUUUUUUUAUCCUUCUGAAAACACCGCACUUCCAUUGGCUCCUCUCUUUCUCUUUCUUUUUUUUGAGACAGUCUUGCUUUGUCACCCUUGUCACCCAGGCUGGAGUGCAGUGGCACGAUCAUGGCUCACUGCAGCUUUGACCUCCCAGGCUCAAGCGAUCCUCCCACUUCAGCCUCCAAGUAGCUCGGAUUACAGGCAUGAGCCAGCUUGCUGGGCCAUCCCACUUCCAUUCUCAAUCCAAACCCUCAUCCCUGACUCCCACGUUCAUUUUCCUGACUCGAAUCCUGUCUCCUAGCCCCACCCUAUCCCUGAUCUCCAUCCCCAUUCCUUACACCCCAUGCUGGAGCUUUACUCCAUCCCAUUGGCCAGCAUGAUGGUUCAUGCCUGUAAUCUCAGCAAUUUGGGGGGCUGAGGCAGGAGGAUCGCUUGAGACCAGGGGUUUGAGACCAGCCUAGGCAACAUAGGAGAGACCCUGCCUCAAUUUUUUUUUUUUUUUUUUUUUGAGAUGGAGUCUUGCUCUGUCGCCCAGGCUGGAGUGCAGUGGCAGGAUCUCGGCUCAACUGCAAGCUCCGCCUCCCGGGUUCAUACCAUUCUCCUGCCUUAGCCUCCCGAGCAGCUGGGACCACAGGUGCCCACCACCAAGCCUGGCUAAUUUUUUGUAUUUUUAGUAGAGACGGGGUUUCACCGUGCUAGCCAGGAUGGUCUCGAUCUCCUGACCUCGUGAUUUGCCCACCUCGGCCUCCCAAAGUGUUGGGAUUACAGGCGUGAGCCACCGCGCCUGGCCUCUAUAUUUUUUAAAAAAGGUCCUACUUAGAUGGGAAUGGGAUGAGGCAGGUCCCAGAUACAGGUUUGUAGAUGGAGCCAUCACAGAACAAGGGGAGAGACUCAGCCUCUUUUCCUCACCCAGACUCAUUGCUUACUCAUGUGUCAACUACAGAGUCAAUACCACAGGGACUCUGAUACCUGAGUCCCUGAGGGGAGGAUUCCUAACACCACCUUCCCCAGGAGGGGCUGUGAUUGGCUCCAGGGUGUUGCUGCCCAGCUGCUCCCAGGUUCUUGCUCAAGCCCUGGGAGACCUACAGCUGAUGGGCUAGUCUGACACCCUGUUCAAGGCCAACUCACAGUUCCAGGUGACGUGAAUAACUGCCCUGGCCUGGCCAUUCACCCUUGCCUGCAGGUGUCCCACACCCAGAAGUGGCCAAUCAGUGCCCAAUAGUGCUGUCCUCCCCUUGUCUCUGGCAUUUGGCCCUUGGUCCUAGGCAGGGGUCAGGACCUGCUCACUUCUCUAAGGGUCAGAAAGCUCUAGGCUCUAGACUCAUGGGUGGGGGCAGGGAACAGUACUGAGUGGGGAUGACGGAGGUGGUGCAGUCUCUUAUACUGACAUUGUCAGCAUAACAUGUGGGUCCCUGCUGUGCCUCAUGUGCCUUCUGGGGACCCUCAAAGGAAUCAGAGCCCCACCAGUCUCCCUGGAGAGCUGAACAAAUAUGAGGGAUACAGGAACACAGGAGCUUAGAGGAUAAUACCUAUCAGAAGGUUAAGGUGGCACUGACCUUGAUCAGGGAGCUGACAACAAUGGCACCAGCAUUGACCAUGGGGUUAUGGGGGAUUCCUGGGGAAAUACAAACCACCAAGAGUCUUAGCCACUGAACAAAGCCUCCCUGACAGCCCGCUCACUUUGUGGGUUAGACAAGAAAGACUGCUAGGGAGAAAGGCAUGACAGGGCUAAUCAGGAAGGGCAGAGAAACAAAAAAGGCUGGGAGAUGGGGUGGGGAUAAGGAGAAGGGGACAGCUGUAAGUACGGUCUGAGCCUUGGUAGUGCUCACCUUCCUCAUUGAGGGAGAGCUUGUUGUAGCGCAGGCCACUUGGCUCUUUGCCCACAAACUUGUGCACGUAGUCAGUGCCUAGGGUGCUUAUGGAGAUGGCAUAGGUGAGGGGCUUCACACAGGACUGCAGGCAGAAGGGGAUCUUUGUGUGGCCCACAGAGUGCCUGGAGGCAGACAGAUGCCAUGAAAGGGGUUGGCCUGUGUUCGGCACCUGUGCCCUGCCUCCCCUUCCUCUUGCCCAGCAUCUCACCGUUGACCAUCCACAGUGCACAGGGAGACACCCCACAGGUCUGGGUUUGACUUGGCCAGCUGAGGGAUGUAGGCUGCCACCUGGACAUGAGUGGGUAGAGAAAAGGGAGAUGGAUGUGGAGAAGAGGAACAGAGUUGAGGUUGAGGGUCAAGAGAAUCUUUUAGAUAAAAGCUAAAAUUCUGUCUUCUAUAGGGCAGAGGGGUUCCCUCCUGCCUGUUGCUCCCAGAAAUGCCCGAGCCUUAAGUCCUAGAAGGCCAUAUCUUUGUGUAUCCGCAAUCCUGUAGAGAUAGCAGUAAAGCCAAUGGAAGUUAAAAAAGGAGAAUUCUGAGGCAACCUUCCCCUUUUGGUUCUUAGGCUCAGUUACCCUAUAAAUCCCUUUGAAGGCUCUAUUCGAUCUUGAUUCCCUCACCUGCUCUAGGAAUCGUGUAUAGAAACACAUGAAGCCAUGUCACCAUUUACAGAAGUUCUGCUUCUCAUCUCUCAUUCAUAGGACUCCCAGCCCCAGGAAAUCUCUGAGAAGCGAGGUAUAUCUAGGUGUGGUGGCUCAUGCCUGUAAUCCCAGCACUUUGGGAGGCCGAGGUGGGUGGAUCACUUGAGAUCAGGAGUUCGAGACCAGCCUGGCCAAUAUGGCAAAACCCCAUCUCUACUAAAAAUACAAAAAUUAGUCGGGCAUGGUGGUGUAUGCCAGCUACUCGGGAGGCUGAGACAGGAGAAUCGCUUGAACCUGGGAGGUGGAGGUUGCAGUGAGCUGAGAUUGCACCAUUGCACUCCAGCCCGGGUGACAGAGCAAAACUCUGUCUCAGGAAAAAAAAAAAAAAAAAAAAUCUGGCCCAGGUCCCUGACCCCUCCCUUAGUCCCCUGACUCUCACUUUGCCUCCAGUGAGCUCUUUGACACCUGGAUCCCAGACACGAUUGGAUUAGGGGGCUAGAGAAAUGCAGCUGGGACUCACUCUGGAGCCACGGAAAUUGGGAAUAAAGAAGGUUGAGUGGUCUUCAGGUUUGGGAUCAACAGCUCUGUUACCUUUGGCAAAUCAGUUUACCUUUCUAGGUCUUAGUUUCCGUACCUCUAAAAUGAGGGGUUUUAAUGAUGUGGAAAGACACUAUGUCUUGGGAUAUGAGAAAAAAAAUAAAUACCAGAAUAAUAUGUAUGUAUGUUACCUUGAUAUUUAAAAAAUCCUAAAUCAUAAAAGUAUAUUUAUAUAUAUUCAUGUAUGUAUGUCAGUACAUAGGACAUUAUCUAGAAGAUACCCACUAAUCUGCUAAUAUUUACUUCUGGGAAAAGAGGACAGGGAUUGAGUAGGGAGGGAAAGGAGAACAUGUAUUUCUAUAUUGUUUGAACUCUUAUGAUGAGUAUUCAUGUAUAACUUAUGUAAUAAGUAAUA